GAUGAACGCUGGCGGCGUGCUUAACACAUGCAAGUCGAACGAAGCAUUUGCGACAGAUUUCUUCGGGAUGAAGUUGCUUAUGACUGAGUGGCGGACGGGUGAGUAACGCGUGGGUAACCUGCCUUGUACUGGGGGAUAGCAGCUGGAGACGGCUGGUAAUACCGCAUAAGCGCACAAUGUUGCAUGACAUGGUGUGAAAAACUCCGGUGGUAUAAGAUGGACCCGCGUCUGAUUAGCUAGUUGGUGAGAUAACAGCCCACCAAGGCGACGAUCAGUAGCCGACCUGAGAGGGUGACCGGCCACAUUGGGACUGAGACACGGCCCAGACUCCUACGGGAGGCAGCAGUGGGGAAUAUUGCACAAUGGAGGAAACUCUGAUGCAGCGACGCCGCGUGAGUGAAGAAGUAAUUCGUUAUGUAAAGCUCUAUCAGCAGGGAAGAUAGUGACGGUAC
rnacentral:rRNA from 1 species